UACGGGGGGAGCAAGCGUUGUUCGGAUUUACUGGGCGUAAAGGGCGCGUAGGCGGUAGCACAAGUCAGUUGUGAAAUCUCCGGGCUUAACUCGGAAAGGUCAACUGAUACUGUGCGACUAGAGUGCAGAAGGGGCAACUGGAAUUCUCGGUGUAGCGGUGAAAUGCGUAGAUAUCAGGAGGAACACCGGUGGCGAAGGCGCCACUCUGGGCCGAAACUGACGCUGAGGAGCGAAAGCGUGGGGAGCGAACAGG
rnacentral:rRNA from 1 species